UGACCUGGGCUACACACGUGCUACAAUGGUUGGUACAACGAGUUGCGAGUCGGUGACGGCGAGCUAAUCUCUUAAAGCCAAUCUCAGUUCGGAUUGUAGGCUGCAACUCGCCUACAUGAAGUCGGAAUCGCUAGUAAUCGCGGAUCAGCGCGCCGCGGUCGAAUACGUUCCCGGGCCUU
rnacentral:rRNA from 1 species